GGCCGUCAGUGGAGUUCACAGCACGUCACUUUCAACAUCAACCAUGUUUUCUGUAGCUCUGCUGCUGCUGCUGGCAGCUGGAUGUGUGAAGUGUGAACAGUUGACACAGCCAGCCUCUGUGACUGUGCAGCCAGGUCAGAGUCUGACCAUCACCUGUCAGGUCUCUUAUUCUGUUAGCAGCUACUGGACAGCCUGGAUCAGACAACCUGCAGGGAAAGGACUGGAGUGGAUCGGUCACAAACAUGGAUCCACCGCAUACUACAAAGAUUCACUGAAGAACCAGUUCAGUAUCGACUUAGACUCCUCCAGAAACACAGCGACUCUGAACGGACUGAAUAUGCAGCCUGAAGACACUGCAGUGUAUUACUGUGCCAGAGACCCACAGUGA